rnacentral:rRNA from 1 species
GACGAACGCUGGCGGCGUGCUUAACACAUGCAAGUCGAACGAAGAGCGACGGAAGCUUGCUUCUAUCAAUCUUAGUGGCGAACGGGUGAGUAACGCGUAAUCAACCUGCCCUUCAGAGGGGGACAACAGUUGGAAACGACUGCUAAUACCGCAUACGAUCUAACCUCGGCAUCGAGGAUAGAUGAAAGGUGGCCUCUACAUGUAAGCUAUCACUGAAGGAGGGGAUUGCGUCUGAUUAGCUAGUUGGAGGGGUAACGGCCCACCAAGGCGACGAUCAGUAGCCGGUCUGAGAGGAUGAACGGCCACAUUGGGACUGAGACACGGCCCAGACUCCUACGGGAGGCAGCAGUGGGGAAUCUUCCGCAAUGGACGAAAGUCUGACGGAGCAACGCCGCGUGAGGGAUGACGGCCUUCGGGUUGUAAAGCUCUGUUAAUCGGGACGAAAGGCCUUCUUGCGAAUAGUGAGAAGGAUUGACGGUACCGGAAGAGAAAGCCACGGCUAACUACGUG